GAUGAACGCUGGCGGCGUGCCUAAUACAUGCAAGUAGAACGCUGAAGGAGGAGCUUACUCUUCUGGAUGAGUUGCGAACGGGUGAGUAACGCGUAGGUAACCUGCCUGGUAGCGGGGGAUAACUAUUGGAAACGAUAGCUAAUACCGCAUGACAACAGUUAUUGCAUGAUAACUGUUUAAAAGGGGCAACUGCUCCACUACCAGAUGGACCUGCGUUGUAUUAGCUAGUUGGUGAGGUAACGGCUCACCAAGGCGACGAUACAUAGCCGACCUGAGAGGGGGGUCGGCCACACUGGGACUGAGACACGGCACAGACUCAUACGGGAGGCAGCAGUAGGGAUUCUUGGGCAAUGGGCGGAAGUCUGACCGAGCAACGCCGCGGGAGUGAAGAAGGUUUUCGGAUCGUAAAGCUCUGUUGUAAGAGAAGAACGAGUGUGAGAGUGGAAAGUUCACACUGUGACGGUAUCUUACCAGAAAGGGACGGCUAACUACGUG
rnacentral:rRNA from 1 species